rnacentral:rRNA from 1 species
UACGUAGGUGGCAAGCGUUGUCCGGAUUUACUGGGCGUAAAGAGCGCGCAGGCGGUCAUUCAAGUCGAGUGUGAAAGCCCCCGGCUCAACUGGGGAGGGUCACUUGAUACUGUUUGACUCGAAGGCGGGAGAGGGAAGUGGAAUUCCCGGUGUAGUGGUGAAAUGCGUAGAUAUCGGGAGGAAUACCGGUGGCGAAGGCGGCAUCCUGGACCGGCAUUGACGCUGAGGAGCGAAAGCCAGGGGAGCAAACGGG